rnacentral:rRNA from 1 species
UAAGCGCAUACGGUGGAUGCCUUGGCAGCUAGAGGCGAUGAAGGACGUUGGAGCCUGCGAAAAGCUUCGGGGAGUCGGCAACCAGACAGUGAUCCGAAGAUGUCCGAAUGGGGGAACCCACCUACCGAAGGUAGGUAUCGUGCACUGAAUACAUAGGUGUACGAGGCGAACGCGGAGAAGUGAAACAUCUCAGUACCCGCAGGAAAAGAAAUCAACCGAGAUUCCCUAAGUAGCGGCGAGCGAACGGGGAGUAGCCCUUAAGUUAUCGUGUAGAUAGAAGAACGCUCUGGAAAGUGCGGCCAUAGCGGGUGAUAGCCCCGUAUUCGAAAUCUUAUCGGUAAUGAAAACGAGUAGGACGGGACACGUGACAUCCUGUCUGAACAUGGGGGGACCAUCCUCCAAGGCUAAAUACUCCUAGCUGACCGAUAGUGAACCAGUACCGUGAGGGAAAGGCGAAAAGAACCCCGGCGAGGGGAGUGAAACAGAACCUGAAACCGUGUACGUACAAGCAGUGGGAGCCCUCUUUAUGGGGGUGACUGCGUACCUUUUGUAUAAUGGGUCAGCGACUUAUAUUCUGUAGCAAGGUUAACCGUAUAGGGGAGCCGCAGGGAAACCGAGUCUUAACUGGGCGUUAAGUUGCAGGGUAUAGACCCGAAACCCGGUGAUCUAGCCAUGGGCAGGUUGAAGGUUGGGUAACACUAACUGGAGGACCGAACCGACUAAUGUUGAAAAAUUAGCGGAUGACCUGUGGCUGGGGGUGAAAGGCCAAUCAAACCGGGAGAUAGCUGGUUCUCCCCGAAAGCUAUUUAGGUAGCGCCUCGUGAACUCAUCUUCGGGGGUAGAGCACUGUUUCGGCUAGGGGGCCAUCCCGGCUUACCAACCCGAUGCAAACUACGAAUACCGAAGAAUGUUAUCACGGGAGACACACGGCGGGUGCUAACGUCCGUCGUGAAGAGGGAAACAACCCAGACCGCCAGCUAAGGUCCCAAAGUCAUGGUUAAGUGGGAAACGAUGUGGGAAGGCUUAGACAGCUAGGAGGUUGGCUUAGAAGCAGCCACCCUUUAAAGAAAGCGUAAUAGCUCACUAGUCGAGUCGGCCUGCGCGGAAGAUGUAACGGGGCUCAAACGGAUACACCGAAGCUACGGGUAUCACGUAAGUGAUGCGGUAGAGGAGCGUUCUGUAAGCCUGUGAAGGUGAGUUGAGAAGCUUGCUGGAGGUAUCAGAAGUGCGAAUGCUGACAUGAGUAACGACAAGGGGGGUGAAAAACCUCCCCGCCGGAAGACCAAGGGUUCCUGCGCAACGUUAAUCGGCGCAGGGUGAGUCGGCCCCUAAGGCGAGGCAGAAAUGCGUAGUCGAUGGGAAACGGGUUAAAAUUCCCGUACCGCUCGUUGUUGCGAUGGAGGGACGGAGAAGGCUAGGUCAGCACGGCGUUGGUAGUCCGUGUUUAAGCCUGUAGGCUGGAUUGCUUAGGUAAAUCCGGGCGGUCAACACUGAGGGGUGAUGACGAGUGAUCCUUCGGGAUCGCGAAGUGAUUGAUGCCAUGCUUCCAAGAAAAGCUUCUAAGCUUCAGACGACGAGAGACCGUACCCCAAACCGACACAGGUGGUCAGGUAGAGAAUACCAAGGAGAUCGAGAGAAUCGUGGUUAAGGAACUCGGCAAAAUGCCCCCGUAACUUCGGGAGAAGGGGGGCCAUCACUGGUGAUUGAAUUUACUUCAUGAGCUGGGGGUGGCCGCAGAGACCAGCGAGAAGCGACUGUUUACUAAAAACACAGGUCCGUGCGAAGCCGUAAGGCGAUGUAUACGGACUGACGCCUGCCCGGUGCUGGAACGUUAAGGGGACCGGUUAGUCCGAUUUCGGUCGGGCGAAGCUGAGAACUUAAGCGCCAGUAAACGGCGGUGGUAACUAUAACCAUCCUAAGGUAGCGAAAUUCCUUGUCGGGUAAGUUCCGACCUGCACGAAUGGCGUAACGACUUCCCAACUGUCUCAACCGCGAACUCGGCGAAAUUGCAUUACGAGUAAAGAUGCUCGUUACGCGCAGCAGGACGGAAAGACCCCGGGACCUUUACUAUAGUUUGGUAUUGGUGUUUGGUUCGGCUUGUGUAGGAUAGGUGGGAGACUGUGAAGCAGCAACGCCAGU